AACGGGUGAGUAACACGUGGGUAACCUGCCCAUCAGAAGGGGAUAACACUUGGAAACAGGUGCUAAUACCGUAUAACAAUCGAAACCGCAUGGUUUCGUUUUGAAAGGCGCUUUACGGUGCCGCUGAUGGAUGGACCCGCGGUGCAUUAGCUAGUUGGUGAGGUAACGGCUCACCAAGGCCACGAUGCAUAGCCGACCUGAGAGGGUGAUCGGCCACAUUGGGACUGAGACACGGCCCAAACUCCUACGGGAGGCAGCAGUAGGGAAUCUUCGGCAAUGGACGAAAGUCUGACCGAGCAACGCCGCGUGAGUGAAGAAGGUUUUCGGAUCGUAAAACUCUGUUGUUAGAGAAGAACAAGGGUGAGAGUAACUGUUCACCCCUUGACGGUAUCUAACCAGAAAGCCACGGCUAACUACGUGCCAGCAGCCGCGGUAAUACGUAGGUGGCAAGCGUUGUCCGGAUUUAUUGGGCGUAAAGCGAGCGCAGGCGGUUUCUUAAGUCUGAUGUGAAAGCCCCCGGCUCAACCGGGGAGGGUCAUUGGAAACUGGGAGACUUGAGUGCAGAAGAGGAGAGUGGAAUUCCAUGUGUAGCGGUGAAAUGCGUAGAUAUAUGGAGGAACACCAGUGGCGAAGGCGGCUCUCUGGUCUGUAACUGACGCUGAGGCUCGAAAGCGUGGGGA
rnacentral:rRNA from 1 species